CAGCCAGAGAACCAAGCCCUUCAUGUGCACCUAGGUGUACUCCAAGAAGAGUCGAAACUGAAACCAGAUCCAGCUCACGUGAGAUGCCAUCCGAGUUAGCUGAAGGAUCAAGACCUCUUCGUGUAUCAGGAAAGGGAGACAAAUUUCCUUGGUCCAAACAAGAGACAUCCUGCAUCUGGGCACAAAUGAGAGAACUCAUCUUGAAAGAAAAGGUACCAGGGAAGAAGGAAUGUCAAGCUUGUAUCACAGCUUCAGUUCCCAUAUUGGACAAAAGAACCUGGCAGUGCGUAAGUAUAAGGUCUAUAAUAUAAUAAACGCGGUCAGGAGAAAAAGCACAAGAUAAAGGCUACUGCAGUACAAAGUACUACAGUGCUUUGUAUUGGUACUGUGUGUUAAGUACCACACGAAACAGUAACGUACAUGUAGCUUGA